GCCUCUGUAGCAUAGUGGUAUUGCGUUGCCUUGGUAAGGCAAAGGUCGAGGGUUCAAAUCCCUUCAGAGGCU
rfam:Archaeon GW2011_AR15 chromosome.